GAUGAACGCUAGCUACAGGCUUAACACAUGCAAGUCGAGGGGAAACGACAUCGAAAGCUUGCUUUUGAUGGGCGUCGACCGGCGCACGGGUGAGUAACGCGUAUCCAACCUGCCCACCACUUGGGGAUAACCUUGCGAAAGUAAGACUAAUACCCAAUGACGUCUCUAGAAGACAUCUGAAGGAGAUUAAAGAUUUAUCGGUGAUGGAUGGGGAUGCGUCUGAUUAGCUUGGUGGCGGGGUAACAGCCCACCAAGGCGACGAUCAGUAGGGGUUCAGAGAGGAAGGUCCCCCACAUUGGAACUGAGACACGGUCCAAACUCCUACGGGAGGCAGCAGUGAGGAAUAUUGGUCAAUGGGCGAGAGCCUGAACCAGCCAAGUAGCGUGCAGGAUGACGGCCCUAUGGGUUGUAAACUGCUUUUAUAAGGGAAUAAAGUGAGUCUCGUGAGACUUUUUGCAUGUACCUUAUGAAUAAGGACCGGCUAAUUCCGUGCCAGCCGCCGCCGUAA
rnacentral:rRNA from 1 species